rnacentral:rRNA from 1 species
UACAGAGGGGGCAAGCGUUAUUCGGAAUUAUUGGGCGUAAAGGGCGCGUAGGCGGCCUGGCAAGUGGAAGGUGAAAUCCCUCGGCUUAACCGAGGAACUGCCCUCCAAACUGCUUGGCUUGAGUCCGGGAGAGGUGAGUGGAAUUCCCAGUGUAGCGGUGAAAUGCGUAGAUAUUGGGAGGAACACCAGUGGCGAAGGCGGCCCACUGGACCGGAACUGACGCUGAGGCGCGAAAGCGUGGGGAGCAAACGGGG